AUUAACAAAAUUACCCGAAUAUUUUUAUCCAUAAAUUUAAAAUUAUCUAAAUUAUUUGAUAUUUUUAUUCAAACCGUCCGAUAUUUAAAGCUGGUAUAAUUAUUUAUUUAUUUGUAAACAUAGUUAUUGAUACUAUGAAUAUAAAUGCUAUUAAUUGUUAUUGAUAAUGUAUAUACAGAAUGGUAUCAGGCAUGCGAAAAUCAAAACAUCUAAUAGAUGAAUUGGUUGCUGUCAAUGAUUGUAGUCGAAUACUUUUUCCACUCAAAGUAAUGCAUCCCGAAAUGAUAGAAAGUAAAGAGAAGAGGAGCCACCGCAAAAAGUAUGAACGGCGUCGAGAGCUCAGAUGUGAGAGAAUAAUUAACGUCGUAGAGGACCCAGAACCAGAGAAUAACUGACCAGCCAUGAAGCAUCGAACACGCUCCUCCACACCAUAGCCACACCUCAGCACCUCGGAGAAGAAGGGGUAGCCUCCGAAACCACCGAUGAAGCAAUCCCGUCAAAUCAAGACCAAAGCUAACAAACUCGAAGAAGAGAAGGUCAGCGAAAUCUCCACCGCAGGGGGAGACCUCAAACAAGAUCCGAAAUUUCUCUCUUUCUUUCUCCCUAACUUUCUCUCUCAGACGGAAGAGACCUCAAACCAGAUCUGUAACGUUAACUCCUUUUUUCUGUAAUUUGUAAGUUAUUAAAUUGGUCUAAUAAAGCAUGGGAGAAGAUAAUUUAUCGGUAAGUUUCCUAGUUUAUGUUUAAGAAUUGUAUGUUUUAUGUAGAAUAUUAGUUCUAUAAUAUGAUUAGUAGGAGAAAGAUACUUCAAAACUCUGUUGAUUAUAAGAGUAGAUUAGCUAAGCCGGAUGGCCAUUCAUAAUAACAUGAGAUUUUGAUA